GAAAUGCGAUAAGUAAUGUGAAUUGCAGAAUUCAGUGAAUCAUCGAAUCUUUGAACGCAUCUUGCGCUCCUUGGUAUUCCUUGGAGCAUGCCUGUUUGAGUAUCAUGAAAUCUUCAAAGUAAAUCUUUUGUUAACUCAAUUGGUUUCUACUUUGGUAUUGGAGGUCUUUGCAGCUUCACACCUGCUCCUCUUUGUUCAUUAGCUGGAUCUCAGUGUUAUGCUUGGUUCCACUCGGCGUGAUAAGUUAUCUAUCGCUGAGGACACUGUAAAAGGUGGCAAAGGUAAAUGCAGAUGAACCGCUUCUAAUAGUCCAUUGACUUGGACAAUACUUUUAUGAUCUGAUCUCAAAUCAGGUAGGACUACCCGCUGAACUUAAGC
rnacentral:misc_RNA from 1 species